GGCCUCGUAGGUUAGCUGGUAGAACACUCGCGGUACUAAAGCGAUGGUGACAACCAUGCGUGGGUUCAAAUCCCUUCGAGGUCA
rnacentral:tRNA from 1 species